rnacentral:lncRNA from 1 species
GCGGGCAGGCCCCGGGGCGCGCUCUGCCGGGGGCGCGCUCCGUAACCGACCGCAUGCCCCUAAGACGGGCGAGCUGCGGCUUGUUGUGCGUUUGCGGCCCUGGCCACCGUGGUGCCGCUAACCUUCUGGCCGCAUGGCCCGGGGCCGCAGUUCGUUGCGGCCCACCUACCGCGGGGGCCUCCACUGCACGCCCACUGCUGUCCGGCCGCUGCGUCCCUGGGUUCCUCCGUCUCCUCCCUAUGGGGCUCUGAGCUGACCGGCCAGCACCGGCUCUCCUUU